AUUAUAAUUAGGGGGUCUGGAUGUCUAAUACACAUGCUUUCAGAUAUGAUUCCUCAAGUUGUAAGAUUUUGUUUUUUUAAAAAAUAAGACCUCCACUUCAUUUUAUUUUUUUAUUGAAUUAAAUCCCUUAUCUUGGUUUUUCAAUACUUCAAUCCCUCGGUCCACUUAUUUGUGUAUAUUCCUACAAAUGACAAUACGUAUAAGGCACAUAUUACAUAAAUGAAGGGACUCAAAUUACUUUUAACUUGGAAAAUGGAGGUUCAACUUUAUAAAAAAUAAAUAAAUUAAUAAAGCUAUUGGUUGACUUAAAACUCAAGAUAGAAAAUUUUAUUUUACCCAAAAAAAUUUUCACAUGUGAGAUUUUUUUUUAAAUUAGCACUGCUUAAAAAAUAAAUUAUUAAAAUAACACAUGUAUAAAACAUUUUGGUGCAAUAAUACAUUUAUUUUAAGUAUGUUGGGGGUUGUCACCAACUACUUUUAAAAAUAUCAUUGGUGAGAAAUACAAUUUUUUAAAAUAUCAUGGUUUUUACCUCCUAUAUUUUACCAUUUAUAAACCUAAUUUUUUUCUUUUUUUCCACCGCAAAUCCCCCACUCUCCAACCUCUUACAAACAACCACCUUUCCUCCUCACCUUUGCAAAUCGACCUCUCUUGCCUUAUAACAUCCACAUGAUAUCUUUUUCGUUCUUUUUUUCUUUUUCGUCUUUAAGCCUCCCCACAAUAUAUUUUCAUAAAAAAUCACCUCCAGUAUCUUAGUUGUUGACAAAUCAAGAUGAUAACUAUUUGGAGUGGUAAUAAGGUAUAAUGCGUCGAUUCAUCACGCCAAACCUGGAACAUAUUUCUCCAUGUACGGACAUGGAGAACGAGAUGUAGGCAUAACAAAUUUAAAAUUGUUUAAGUAUUUAUUAUUUUUUGUAAUUAAUAUAUGAUGAAAGAUGCAUUUUACUUAUUGAUUAAUAUAUGUAUUUGUUGAAUAUUAGGUUGACAUGUUGUUAUAGGAGGGUCACUGUAGAUCUUCAUGGUCAUGAAUAUAAUGACCUAAGACAUUACCUAACAUCUUAUUGGUUCGAUGUAUGUCGUAAUGCAUUUGAUGUAUUUGGAAA